rnacentral:rRNA from 1 species
UACGUAGGGAGCAAGCGUUGUUCGGAUUUACUGGGCGUAAAGGGCGCGUAGGCGGCGCGGUAAGUCACUUGUGAAAUCUCUGAGCUUAACUCAGAACGGCCAAGUGAUACUGCAGUGCUAGAGUGCAGAAGGGGCAAUCGGAAUUCUUGGUGUAGCGGUGGAAUGCGUAGAGAGUCCGGAAGAACACCGGUGGCGAAGGCGGCCAC